GCUUAUUUAAUUUAAUGGAAAAAUAACUGCUUGUGAUGUUGUCUAUGCUAGUUCGACUCUAGCAAUUUGCC
rnacentral:tRNA from 1 species